CCUUGCCUGCACCUGCUCCUUUAGCACCAAAGAGGAAACCAGUACUCUGCGCCCGCUAGCGCCCACCUGGUGCCCGCCUGGCCUUGGUCGUCAUGGCUCACGUCACGGGAACCUCACGAGGUGCCCCUCGCCUUGAUCUCUCCGCUCCUCGCGAGCCAGCCUAGUGAGGCUGCCCCUGAGGAGGUCUUGUGUCGUCCCCCUCGCGAGGCUUGGCCCCUCGCGAGGGUCUUGUGUGUUUGCUGAUGAAGAUUGGCCGUACCAGGCCGUUAGAGGAGCCACGCCCUGGGCUGUAGGCAGGCAAGCCUGGGUAGCCCGUUCCCAGGACGCCGACAGCUUUAAAGUAUGAGAUGCACACGCCAUGUAAUUGCUUUAAUUUAUCACUAUGCGUUAGCGAUAGUUGUAGAAGCAAUAGUUGGCCAGACGACCACGACGCUACGAUGGAGAUCAAGGUGUCAAGCCGGUGACGAUGGAGAUCAUGAUGGUGCUUUGGAGAUGGAGAUCAAAGCCACAAGAUGAUGAUGGCCAUAUCAUGUCACAUAUUUUGAUUGCAUGUGAUGUUUAUCUUUUAUGCAUCUUAUUUUGCUUAGUACGAUGGUAGCAUUAUAAGAUGAUCCCUUAACUAAAUUUCAAGGUAUAAGUGUUCUCCGUGAGUAUGCACGUUGCGAAAGUUCUUCGUGCUGAGACACCACGUGAUGAUCGGGUGUGAUAGGCUCUACGUUCACAUACAAUGGGGGCAAGACAGUUUUGCACAUGCAGAAUACUCGGGUUAAACUUGACGAGCCUAGCAUGUACAGACAUGGCCUCGGAACACUGGAGACCGAAAGGUCGAAUGUGAAUCAUAUAGUAGAUAUGAUCAAGAUAGAGAUGUUCACCAUUGAAGACUACUCCAUCUCACGUAAUGAUCGGACAUGGUUUAGUUGAUUUGGAUCACGUAUCAUUUAGAUGACUCGAGGGAUGUCAAUGUAAGUGGGAGUUCUUAAGUAAUAUGAUUAAUUGAACUUAAUUUAUCAUGAACUUAGUCCUGAUAGUAUUUGCAUAUCUAUGUUGUAGAUCAAUAGCUUGCGAUGUAGCUCCCAGUUUAUUUUUGGAUAUGUUCCUAGAGAAAAAUAAGUUGAAAGAUGAUAGUAGCAAAGAUGUGGACUAGGUCCGAGAUCUGAGGAUUAUCCUCAUUGCUGCACAGAAAAAUUAUGUCCUUGAUGCACCGCUAGGUGACAGACCUAUUGCAGGAGCAAAUGCAGACAUUAUGAAUGUUUGGCUAGCUCAAUAUGAUGACUACUUAAUAGUUUAGUGCGCCAUGCUUUACGGCUUAGAACCGGGACUUCAAAAAUGUUUUGAACGCCACGGAGCAUAUGAGAUGUUCCAAGAGCUGAAAUUGGUAUUUCAGACUCGUGCCCGUGCCGGGAGGUAUGAGACCUCUGACAAGUACUUUGCCUACAAGAUGGAGGAGAAUAGCUCAGCCAGUGAGCAUGUGCUCAGAAUGUCUGAAUACUACAAAUCACUUGAAUCAAGUGGGAGUUGAUCUUCUAGAUAAGAUAGUGAUUGACAGAGUUCUCUAGUCACUAUCACCAAGUUACUGGAACUUCGUGAUGAACUAUAAUAUGCAAGGGGUGACGAAAACGAUUCCUGAGCUCUUCGUGAUGCUGAAAUCGAUGAAGGUAGAAAUCAAGAAAGAGCAUCAAUUGUUGAUGGUUAACAAGACCACUAGUUUCAAGAAAAAGGGCAAUGGAUAGAAGGGGAACUUCAAGAAGAAUGGCAAGCAAGUUGCCACUCCCGGGAAGAAGCCCAAGUCUGGACCUAAGCCUGAAACUGACUGCUUCUACUGCAAAGGGAUUGGUCACUGGAAGCGGAACUGCCCCAAAUACUUGGCAGAUAAGAAGGAUGGCAAAGUGAACAAAGGUAUAUUUGAUAUACAUGUUAUUGAUGUGUACUUUACUAGUGUUCAUAGUAACCCCAGGGUAUUUGAUACCGGUUCAGUUGCUAAGAUUAGUAACUCGAAACAGGAGUUAUAGAUUGAACAGAGACUAGUUAAGGGCGAGGUGACGAUGUGUGUUGGAAGUGAUUCCAUGGUUGAUAAGAUCACCAUCGCACACUCCCUCUACCUUCGAGAUUAGUGUUGAACCUAAAUAAAUGUUAUUUGGUGUUUGCGUUGAGCAUGAAUAUGAUUGGAUCAUGUUUAUUGCAAUCCGGUUAUUCAUUUAAGUCAGAGAAUAAUUGUUGUUCUGUUUACAUGAAUAAAACCUUCUAUGGUCAUACACUCAAUGUAAAUGGUUUAUUGAAUCUCGAUCGUAGUGAUACACAUAUUCACAAUAUUGAUGCCAAAAGAUGCAAAGUUGAUAAUGAUAGUGCAGCGAAUUUGUGGCACUGCCGUUUAGGUCAUAUUGGUGUAAAGCACAUGAAGAAACUCCAUGCAGAUGGACUUUUGGAAUCACUUGAUGCUUGCGAACCAUGCCUCAUGGGCAAGAUGACUAAGACUCCGUUCUCCGGAACAAUGGAGCGAGCUACUGACUUAUUGGAAAUAAUACAUACGAAUGUAUGCGGUCCGAUGAGUGUUGAGGCUCGUGGCGGGUAUCGUUAUUUUCUGACCUUCACAGAUGAUUUGAGCACAUAUGGGUAUAUCUACUUAAUGAAACACAAGUCUGAAACAUUUGAGAAGUUCAAAGAAUUUUAGAGUGAAGUGGAGAAUCAUCAUAACAAGAAAAUAAAGUUUCUACGAUCUGAUCAUGGAGGCGAAUAUUUGAGUUAUGAGUUUGGCCUUCAUAAAAAAAUGUGGAAUAGUUUCACAACUCAUGCCACCUGGAACACCACAGCGUAAUGGUGUGUCCGAACGUCGUAACCGUACUUUAUUUGAUAUAGUGCGAUCUAUGAUGUCUCUUACCGAUUUACCACUAUCGUUUGGGGUUAUGCAUUAGAGAUAGUUGCAUUCACUUUAAAUAGGGCACCGUCUAAAUCCAUUGAGAUGACACCGUAUGAACUAUGGUUUGGCAAGAAACCUAAGUUGUCGUUUCUUAAAGUUUGGGGUUGUGAUGCUUAUGUGAAAAAGCUUCAGCCUGAUAAGCUCGAACCCAAAUCGGAGAAGUGCAUCUUCAUAGGAUACCCAAAAGAGACUGUUGGGUACACCUUCUAUCACAGAUCCGAAGGCAUGAUCUUUGUUGCUAAGAAUGUAUCCUUUCUAGAGAAGGAGUUUCUCUCGAAAGAAGUGAGUGGGAGGAAAGUAGAACUUGAUGAGGUAAUUGUACCUUCUCCCGAAUUGGAAAGUAGUUCAUCACAUAAACCAGUUCCAGUGAUUCCUACACCAAUUAGUGAGGAAGCUAAUGAUGAUGAUCAUGAAACUUCAAAUCAAGUUACUACUGAACCUCGUAGGUCAAUCAGAGUACGGUCCGCACCAGAGUGGUACGGUAAUCCUGUUCUGGAAGUCAUGUUACUAGACCAUGACGAGCCUACGAACUAUGAGGAAGCGAUGAUGAGCCCAGAUUCCGCGAAAUGGCUUGAGGCCAUGAAAUCUGAGAUGGGAUCCAUGUAUGAGAAAAAAGUAUGGACUUCGGUUGACUUGCCCGAUGAUCGGCAAGCCAUAGAGAAUAAAUGGAUCUUCAAGAAGAAGACUGACGCUGACGGCAAUGUUACUGUCUACAAAGCUCGACUUGUUGCGAAAGGUUUUCGACAAGUUCAAGGAGUUGACUAUGAUGAGACCUUCUCACCCGUAUCGAUGCUUAAGUCUGUCCGAAUCACGUUAGCAAUUGCCGCAUUUUAUGAAAUCUGGCAAAUGGAUAUCAAAACUGCAUUCCUUAAUGGAUUUAUUAAAGAAGAGUUGUAUAUGAUGCAACCAGAGGAUUUUGUCAAUCCUAAAGGUGUUAACGAAAUAUGCAAGCUCCAGCAAUCCAUCUAUGGACUGGUGCAAGCAUCUCGGAGUUGGAAUAUACGCUUUGAUGAGUUGAUCAAAGCAUAUAGUUUUAUACAGACUUGCGGUGAAGCCUGUAUUUACAAGAAAGUGAGUGGGAGCAUUACAGCCUUUCUGAUAAGUAUAUGUGAAUGACAUAUUGUUGAUCAGAAAUGAUGUAGAUUUUUCUGGAAAGCAUAAAGGAGUGUUUGAAAGGAGUUUUUCAAAGAAAGACCUCAGUGAAGCUGCUUACGUAUUGAGCAUCAAGAUCUAUAUAGAUAGAUCAAGACGCUUGAUAAGACUUUCGAUGAGUACAUACCUUGAUAAGUUUUUGAAAGAGUUCAAAAUGGAUCAGUCAGAGAAGGAGUUCUUGCCUGAGUUGUAAGGUAUGAAGUUGAGUAAGACUCAAAACCCGACCACGGCAGAAGAUAGAGAGAGAAUGAAAGUCAUUCCCUAUGCCUCAGCCAAAGGUUCUAUAAAGUAUGCCAUGCUGUGUAACAAACCUGUUGUGUACCAUGCCAUGAGUUUGACAAAGGGGUACGAUAGUGAUCCGGGAGUGGAUCACUGGACAGCCAUCAAAGUUAUCCUUAGUUACCUAAGAGGACUAAGGAAAUAUUUCUCGGUUAUGGAGGUGAUAAAGAGUUCGUGGUAAAGAGUACAUCGAUGCAAGCUUUUACACCGAUCCGGCUAACUCCGAGUCUCAAUCUGGAUACAUAUUGAAAGUGGGAGCAAUUAGCUAGAGUAGCUCCAUGCAGAGCAUUAUAGACAUAGAAAAUUUGCAAAAUACAUACGGCUCUGAAUGUGGCAGACCCGUUGACUAAACUUCUCUAACAAGCAAAACAUGAUCACACCUUAGUACUCUUUGGGUGUUAAUCACAUAGCGAUGUGAACUAGAUUAUUGACUCUAGUAAUCCCUUUGGGUGUUGGUCACAUGGUGAUGUGAACUAUUGGUGUUAAAUCACAUGACGAUGUGAACUAGAUUAUUGACUCUAGUGCAAGUAGGAGACUGAAGGAAAUAUGCCCUAGAGGCAAUAAUGUUGUUGUUAUUAAUAUUUCCUUAUAUCAUGAUAAAUAUCUAUUAUUCAUGCUAGAAUUGUAUUAACCGGGAACUUGAUACAUGUGUGGAUACAUAGACAAAACAGUGUCCCUAGUAAGCCUCUACUAGACUAGCUCGUUAAUCAAAGAUGGUUAAGUUUCCUAACCAUAGACAUGUGUUGUCAUUUGAUGAACAUGAUCACAUCAUUAGGAGAAUGAUGUGAUGGACAAGACCCAUCCAUUAGCUUAGCAUAAAUGAUCGUUAAGUUUUAUUGCUAUUGCUUUCUUCAUGACUUAUACAUGUUCCUUUGACUAUGAGAUUAUGCAACUCCCGAAUACCAGAGGAAUACCUUGUGUGCUAUCAAACAUCACAACAUAAAAGGGUGAUUAUAAAGAUGCUCUACAGGUAUCUCCGAAGGUGUUUUGUUGGGUUGGCAUAGAUCGAGAUUAGGAUUUGUCACUCCGAGUAUCGAAGAGGUAUCUCUGGGCCCUCUCGGUAAUGCACAUCAUCAUAAGCCUAGCAAGCAAUGUGACUAAUGAGUUAGUUAUGGGAUGAUGCAUUACAGAAUGAGUAAAGAGACUUGCCGGUAAUGAGAUUGAACUAGGUAUGAGGAUACCGACGAUCGAAUCUCGGGCAAGUAACAUACCGAUGACAAAGGGAAUAGCGUAUGUUGUCAUUACGGUUCGACCGAUAAAGAUCUUCAUAGAAUAUGUGGGAGCCAAUAUGAGCAUCCAAGUUCCGCUAUUGGUUAUUGACCGGAGAGGUGUCUCGGUCAUGUCUACAUAGUUCUCGAACCCGUAGGGUCCGCACACUUAACGUUUGAUGACGAUUUGUAUUAUGAGUUAUGUGUUUUGGUGACCGAAGAUUGUUCGGAGUCCCGGAUGAGAUCAUGGACAUGACGAGGAGUCUCGAAAUGGUCGAGAGAUAAAGAUUGAUAUAUUGGACGAUGGUAUUCGGAUAUCGGAAUGGUUCUGGAAUGUUUCGGGUAUUUUUCGGAGUACCGGGAGGUUACCGGAACCCCCCGGGAAAUUAAUGGGCCUACAUGGGCCAUAGGGGGAGAGAGAGGAGAGCCCGCAAGGGGUGGCGCCCCCCCAUGGGCUAUCCGAAUUGGACAAGGGGAAGGGGGCGCGGCCCCCCUUUCCUUUCCCCUCUCCCUCUCCUUCCCUUUCCCCCUCCGAAAGAAAGGAAAGGGGGCCGACUAGCACUAGGAGUCCCCCUAGGGCCGGCCUCCUCCCUCUCCUCCUUUAUGUAUGGGGGCAGGGGGCACCCAAAGCACAUCAAUUGUUCUCUUAGCCGUGUGCGGUGCCCCCUCCAUAGUUUACUCCUCCGGUCAUAUCGUCGUAGUGCUUAGGUGAAGCCCUGCGCGGAUCAUAUCACCAUCACCGUCACCAUGCCGUCGUGCUGACGAAACUCUCCCUCGACACUUUGCUGGAUCAAGAGUUCGAGGUACGUCAUUGAGCUGAAUGUGUGCAGAACUCGGAGGUGACGUACGUUCGGUGCUUGAUCGGUUGGAUCGCGAAGACGUUCGACUACAUCAACCGCGUUGAGCUAACGCUUCCGCUUUCGGUCUACGAGGGUACGUGGACACACUCUCCCCCUCUCGUUGCUAUGCAUCUCCUAGAUAGAUCUUGCGUGAUCGUAGGAAAUUUUUUGAAAUUGCAUGCUACGUUCCCCAACAGAGACCACCUCAAAGUUAUUCUUUCAGAUCAAUCCAUUGAGCUAUUCCUAUAAGUGUCACAAACAGCCCUAGAGUUCGUAGUAAAAUAACACCAUAUGACACACAUCAAUCAAACCUAAUGUCACCUAGAUACUCCAAUGUCACCACAAGUAUCCAUGGGUCAAUUGUACGAUAUGCAUCAAACAACUUUAGAUUCAUAAUAUUCAAUCCAACAUAAAGAACCUCAAAGAGUGCCCCAAGAUUCCUACCCAAGAAACAAGGAUGAAAACAUGCAUCAACCCCUAUGCAUAGAUUACCCUAAUGUCACCUCGGGAAUCCGCGAGUUGAGUGCCAAAACAUACAUCAAGUGAAUCAAUAGGAUACCCCAUUGUCACCACGGGUAUCCCACACAUGACAUACAUCAAGUGUUCUCAAAUCCAUAAUAGUAUUCAACCCGGUAAUAGUGAAACCUCAAAGGUAAAACUCAAUUCAUCACAAGAAGGUGGAGGGGGAGAAACACCAUAUGAUCCAACUAUAGUAACAAAGCUCGUGAUACAUCAAGAUCGUGCCAAAUCAAGAACACGAGAGAGAGAGAGAGAGAUCAAACACAUAGCUACUGGUACAUACCCUCAGCCCCGAGGGUGAACUACUCCCUCCUCGUCAUGUAGACUGCCGGGAUGAUGAAGAUGGCCACCGGUGAUGGUUUCGCCCUCCGGGAGGGUGCCGGAACAGGAUCCCGAUUGGUUUUUCGUGGCUAUAGAGGCUUACGGUGGCGGAACUCCCGAUCUAGGUUUCUUUCUGGGGGUUUCUGGAUUUAUAGGAAUUUUUGGCGUCGGUUUCAAGUCAGGGGGUCCACGAGUGAGCGACAAGGUAGGGGCGCGCCCUAGGGGGGUGGGCACGCCCUCCACCCUUGUCAUUGACUCGGAACUCUUCUCGCCCAACUAUUUUGCUCCGGGGGCUUCUUCUGGUCCAUAAAAAAUCACCGUAAAUUUUCAGCUCAUUUAAUUGGACUCCGUUUGAUAUUCCUUUUUUGCGAAACUUAAAAACAAGGAAAAAACAAAAACUGGCACUGGGCUCUAGGUUAACAGGUUAGUCCCAAAAAUAAUAGUAUAAAAUAGCAUAUAAAAAAUCCAAGAUGGAUAAUAUAAUAGCAUGGAACAAUAAAAAAUUAUAGAUACGUUGGAGACGUAUCAAGCAUCCCCAAGCUUAAUUCCUGCUCGUCAUCGAGUAGGUAAAUGAUAAAAACAGAAUUUUUGAUGUGGAAUGCUACCUAACAUAUUUAUCCAUGUAAUUUUUCUUUAUUUUGGCAAGAAUGUUCAUAUCCAUAAGAUUCAAAAAAAGUUUAAUAUUGACAUAAAAACAAUAAUACUUCAAGCAUACUAACAAGGCAAUUAUGUCUUCUCAAAAUAACAUGGCCAAAGAAAGCUUAUCCCUACAAAAUCAUAUAGUCUGGCUAUGCUCCAUCUUCAUUACACAAAAUAUUCAAAUCAUGCACAACCCCGAUGACAAGCCAAGCAAUUGUUUCAUACUUUUGAUGUUCUCGAACCUUUUCAACUUUCACGCAAUACAUGAGCGUGAGCCAUGGACAUAGCACUAUAGGUGGAAUAGAAUAUGGUGGUUGUGGAGAAGACAAAAAGUAGGAGAUAGUCUCACAUCAACUAGGCGUAUCAAUGGGCUAUAGAGAUGCCCAUCAAUAGAUAUCAAUGUGAGUGAGUAGCGAUUGCCAUGCAACGGAUGCACUAGAGCUAUAUGUUUAUGAAAGCUCAAAAAGAAACUAAGUGGGUGUGCAUCCAACUCACUUGCCCACGAAGACCUAGGGCAAUUUGAGGAAGCCCAUCAUUGGAAUAUACAAGCCAAGUUCUAUAAUGAAAAAUUCCCACUAGUAUAUGAAAGUGAUAACAUAUGAGACUCCCUAUCAUGAAUUUCAUGGUGCUACUUUGAAGCACAAGUGUGGUAAAAGGAUAGUAACAUUGCCCCUUCUCUCUUUUCUCUCAUUUUUCUGGGCCUUCUCUCUUUUUCUGCCUCUUUUUUUCAUCCGGAGUCUUAUCCCGACUUGUGGGGGAAUCAUAAUCUCCAUCAUCCUUUCCUCACAAGGGACAAUUGAUAACCCACAAGUAUAGGGGAUCAAUUGUAGCCUCUUUAGAUAAGUAAGAGUGUCGAACCCAAUGAGGAGCUAAAGGUAGAACAAAUAUUCCCUCAAGUUCUAUCGACCACCGAUACAACUCUACGCACGCUUAACGUUCGCUUUACCUAGAACAAGUAUGAAACUAGAAGUACUUUGUAGGUGUAACGGGAUAGGUUUGCAAGAAUAUGAAGAGCACGUAAAUAAAAACUAUGGGCUGUUUAGGUAAAGAAGCAAUAAAGUUAGUAUAGCGAGUGUGGAAAAGUGGUGGUAGGAGUUGUGAAAUUGUCCCUAAGAAAUUGACUAUGUUACUAGAUCGAUAGCAAGUUUUAUGUGGGAGAGGCCACUGCUAGCAUGUCAUUCCUGACUUGGAAUUCUAUGCACUUAUGAUUGGAACUAUUAGCAAGCAUCCGCAACUACUAACAUUCAUUAAGGUAAAACCCAACCAUAGCAUUAAGAUAGAUUGGUCCCCCUUCAAUCCCGUAUGCAUCAAUUUCUAUGCUAGGUUGAAGCUUCUGUCACUCUUGCCCUCCAAUACAUAGUCCUAUCAACAUACAAACCCUAUGGUGUGAUCCACGCGCGCGCUCAUAUGAUGGGCACCAAAGGACAGCAACAUAACCACAAGCAAAUUAAACCAAUCAUAGCAAUUCACCAAUUACCGAUAGGACAACGAAAAUCUACUCAGACAUCAUAGGAUGGCAACACAUCAUUGGAUAAUAAUAUGAAGCAUAAAGCACCAUGUUCAAGUAGAGGGUACAACGGGUUGCGGGAGAGUGGACCGCUGUAGAUAGAUGGGGGAAGGUGAUGAAGAUGUUGGUGAAGAUGACGGAGGUGUUGGUGUAGAUCGUCGUCGCACGAUGAUGGCCCCGUCGGCGUUCCGGCGCCACCGGGAGAGAGGGGGAGAGGGGGCCCCCUUCUUCUUCCUUGACCUUCUCCCUAGAUGGGAGAAGGGUUUCCCCUCUGGUCCUUGGUUUCCAUGGCAUGGGAGGGGCGAGAGCCCCUCCGAGAUUGGAUCUGUCUCUCUGUCUCUCUCUAUUUCUGCGCUCCCUGAUUCUGCCCUUUCACCAUUUCUUAUAUUCGCAGAGAUCCGUAACUCCGAUUGGGCUGAAAUUUGGAUACGAUUUUUAUCCGGAUAUUGGCUUUCUUGCGGCGAAAGAAGGGCACCAACCGCCUUACGGAGUGGCCACGAGGGCGCAGGGCGCACCCCUCACCCUCGUGGGCCCCUCGGGCAUCGUCUCGCGUUGAUUCCACUUCCAAAAAUUCACAUAUAUUCCAAAAAAAUCUCUGUCAGUUUUUAUCCCGUUUGGACUCCGUUUGAUAUGGAUUUUCUGCGAAACAAAAAACAUGCAACAAACAGGAACUGGCACUGGGCACUAGAUCAAUAUUUUAGUCCCAAAAAUAGUAUAAAAAGUUGCCAAAAGUAUGUAAAAGUUGUAGAAUAUUGGCAUGGAACAAUAAAAAAUUAUAGAUACGACGGAGACGUAUCAGCAUCCCCAAGCUUAAUUCCUGCUCGUCCUCGAGUAGGUAAAUGAUAAAAAGAUAAUUUUUGAUGUGGAAUGCUACCUAGCAUAAUUUUGAUCAUGUAAUAUAAUCAUGGCAUGAAUAUUAAGACACGAGUGAUUCAAAGCAAUAGUCUAUCAUUUGACAUUAAGACAAUAAUCCUUCAAGCAUACUAACCAAGCAAUUAUAUCCUCUCAAAGUAACAUAGCCAAAGAAAGCUCAUCCCUACAAAAUCAUAUAGUUUGGCCAUGCUUCAUUUUCGUCACACAAAAUGCUCUCAUCAUGCACAACCCUGAUGACAAGCCAAGCAAUUGUUUCAUACUUUAGUAUUCUCAAACUUUUUCAACUUUCACGCAAUACAUGAGCGCGAGCCAUGGACAUAGCACUAUGGGUGGAAUAGAAUAUGAUGAUGGAGGUUGUGUGGAGAAGACAAAAAGGGAGAAAGUCUCACGUCGACGCGGCUAAUCAACGGGCUAUGGAGAUGCCCAUCAAUUGAUGUCAAUGCGAGGAGUAGGGAUUGCCAUGCAACGGAUGCACUAGAGCUAUAAAUGUAUGAAAGCUCAACAAAAGAAACUAAGUGGGUGUGCAUCCAACUUGCUUGCUCAUGAAGACCUAGGGCAUUUGAGGAAGCCCAUCUAGGAAUAUACAAGCCAAGUUCUAUAAUGAAAAUUCCCACUAGUAUAUGAAAGUGAUAACUCAAGAGACUCUCUAUAUGAAGAACAUGGUGCUACUCUGAAGCACAAGUGUUGUAAAAGGACAGUAACAUUGCCCCUUCUUUCUUUUUCUCUCAUUUUUUUUGUUUUUUUGUUUUGGUGGGCUUCUUUGGCCUCUCUUUUUUAUCUGGGCUUCUUUGGCCUCUUUUAUUUUUUUAAAGUAUGGAGUCUCAUCCCGACUUGUGGGGGAAUCAUAGUCUCCAUCAUCCUUUCCUCACCGGGGCAAUGCUCUAAUAAUGAUGAUCAUCACACUUUUAUUUACUUACAACUCAAUAUUACAACUCGAUGUCUAAAACAAAGUAUGACUCUAUAUGAAUGCCUCUGGCAGUGUACCAGGAUGUGCAAUGAUCUAGCAUAGCAAAGAUAUCAAAAAACGGACAAGCCAUGCAAAUAUCAUGCCAGCUAUCUUACGAUCAUGCAAAGCAAUAUGACAAUGAUGCUCAAGUCAUGUAUAUGAAGAUGAUGGAAGUUGCAUGGCAAUAUAUCUCGGAAUGGCUAUGGAAAUGCCAUAAUAGGUAGGUAUGGUGGCUGUUUUGAGGAAGAUAUAAGGAGGCUUAUGUGUGAUAGAGCGUAUCAUAUCACGGGGUUUGGAUGCACCGGCGAAGUUUGCACCAACUCUCGAGGUGAGAAAGGGCAAUGCACGGUACCGAAGAGGCUAGCAAUGAUGGAAGGGUGAGAGUGCUUAUAAUCCAUAGACUCAACAUUAGUCAUAAAGAACUCACAUACUUAUUGCAAAAAUCUACAAGUCAUCAAAACCAAGCACUACGCACAUGCUCCUAGGGGGAUAGAUUGGUAGGAAAAGACCAUCGCUCGUCCCCGACCGCCACUCAUAAGGAAGGCAAUCAAAGGAACACCUCAUGCUUCAAAUUUGUCACACAACGGUUACCAUACGUGCAUGCUACGGGACUUGCAAACCUCAACACAAGUAUUUCUCAAUUUCACAAUUACUCAACUAGCACGACUCUAAUAUCACCACCUUUAUAUGGCAAAACUAUUGCAAGGAAUCAAACAUAUCAUAUUCAGUGAUUUACAAGUUUUAUGCAGGAUUUUAUGACUAACCAUGUGAAUGACCAAUUCCUGUCAUCUCUCUAAAUAGAUAUAAGUGAAGCAAGAGAGUUUAAUUCUUUCUACAAAAGAUAUUCCCACGCUCUAACAAAUAUAAGUGAAGCAAAAUAGCAUUCUACAAAUGGCGGUUUUCUAUGUGAAGAGAAACAGGCAAUCCGAACUUCAAAUGAUAUAAGUGAAGCACAUGAAGCCUUCUAUAAAGCCAUACUCAAAAAAAUUUAAGUGAAGUGCAAUGAGCAUUCUAUAGAUCAACCAAGGACUAUCUCAUACCAGCAUGGUGCAUAAAAUAAAAGUGAAAACUAAAUGCAAAAGGCGCUCCAAGAUUUGCACAUAUCACAUGAACGAAACGAAUCUGAAAACAUACCGAUACUUGUUGAAGAAAGAUGGGAUGCCUUCCGGGGCAUCCCCAAGCUUAGACGCUUGAGUCUCCUUGAAUAUUUACUUGGGGUGACUUGGGCAUCCCCAAUCUUGAGCUCUUGCCUCUCCUUCUUCUCCUCACAUCGAGACAUCCUCGAUCUUCGAACACUUCAUCCACACAAAACUCAAUAGAAAGUUCGGUAAGAUCCGUUAGUAUAAUAAAGCAAAUCACUACUCUAAGUACUGUUGCAAACCAAAUCAUAUUUUGUUUUUGCAUUGUAGCUACUGUAAUAUAACUUUUCCAUGGCUUAAUACACUGAUAGAAAUCGAUAGUUUCAUCAAAACAAGCAAACUAUGCAUCAAAAAAUAGAAUUUGUCUUAAACAUGACAGUCUGUAGUAAUCUGAACAUUCACCAUACUUCUGGUACUCCAACAAUUCUCAAACAAUUAGGAAAAAUAAAAAAUUUGUAUAGAAAGACAGUGCAAAAAGUUUCAGAACCGUUUGACGUUCCAGUAAAAAAUGUAAAAUCGCGCACUACGCCAAAGUUUCUGUUUUGCACCGCACAAACCAACAAGCAAUGUAAACAUCCUAAAGGCAAAUCUUGGCACAUUAUUUUUAUAAUACAAUGGAAUUGUACAAGGGGAUAAUUAUUUUUGUUGAAAAGUUUCUGUAAUCAAGAUUCACAAAGUUUCUGUGAGCACGAACAAAGUUCAAGGAGCUCCCCCACUUCAACAAUGCUUGUCUCUCUCACUUUCACUUUCCUUUUUGAAAAGUUUUGGGUUCCCCUCUAUAUUUUUUUGUUUUUAAACUUCAUAAAAGCACUCAACAGAAAUAAACGACUCUCUAAUACUUCCGAGUUGUCUCCCUGGCAGCGCUUUCUUUAAAGCCAUUAAGCUAGGCAUAAAGUGCUCAAGUAAUGAAUCCACCCGGAUCCCAAGGUAUAUCAAAGCCAAUUUUAAUUAACAAUGAUUUGGCAUUUAGUAGUGAGCACAAAGCAACAUAUAUCAAGCAAUGACGAAGUCUAACUCUCUUCCUAUGCAUCGGCAUGUCAUACAAGAACAAUUCAUGCACAUCAAGUAAAGGCCAAUACAUAGCAUAAGAAGUUUCUUGCAAUUUUUUCGUGUUGGAAACAUAGAGAGGCGGAGAUGUAGUUCCUCUCUCAUAAUAAUUGCAGGUAGAAGCAGCAAGCACAUGCAUAUUAUAUUCAUCAAAAUUAUCAUGUGCAACGGUAAAAGGCAACCCAUCAAUAUAAUCCUUAAUAAGGGCAAACUUCUACGAUAUAGUGUAGUCGGGAGAAUUCAAAAAGAUAAUAGGACUAUCAUGCGUGGGUGCAAUAGCAACAAUUUCAUGUUUAACAUAAGGAACUAUAGCAAGUUCAUAUCCAUAUGCAUAAUUCAUAUUGGCAUCUUGGCCACAAGCAUAGCAAGCAUAAUCAAAAAGGGAUAUUUCAAAAGAAUCAACGGGAUCAUAACAAUCAUCAUAGCAAUCAUCCUUCGGUAAGCACGAAGGGAAAUUAAACAAUGUAUGAGUUGAAGAGUUACUCUCAUUAGAAGGUGGGCAUGGGUAGCUAAUCCGCUCUUCCUCCUUUUGUUCUUCUCUCUCCUCAUCAUCUUUUUCAUCCAAUGAGCCCACAGUUUCAUCAAUUCCUUCUUCCAUAGACUCCUGCAAAAUAUUAGUCUCUUCUUGGACAGCGGAGGAGUCCUCAAUAUAUGAUUUAACAUAGGCAUUAGAAGCAUAAUUAUCAUAGCAAUAUUUAAGUAUGGCAAAAUUUUCAGAUUUGUAAAGAGUAGCAUCAUACGUUUCAAUCAAAGAAGCAAUUUCAUAAGCACCCUUAAAAGCAACAAAUUCUUCAAUUUGUUGAACAUCAUAGUAAUUAUAAACACCCUUAGCAUACGAAGAUACGAUUCCAUUAUCACUAAACUCACAUUGGUAGGGUAGGUGUUUCUUAGGGUUUUCAGAACAACAAGUAACAUCAUAUAUUUCACAUAAAUUCCAAGCAUAGCAUUGCAAACGAUGAAUUUGAUCCAGUAAAAGUUUCCCUUUUCAGAUAUGCGGUGUCGCACAUAACAAGCAUGCUCAUCUAAAGAUUUGCCCUCAACUAAACUAGUUGGGGUUUCAGCACGAGCACAAAGGGAUCGAAUAUGAUCCAAGUAAAAAGCUUCAGGAGUGUGAUAGAUUUUGAGUGGUUCUUCAACCAUUGGUGUAGUAGGUACAACUAAUUUUUUGGUAUUUUGCGUUUCCUACCCAUAACUAAAGAUAGAAAACAAGAGCACAAAAUAAAAACUACUUAGUGAUAAAGCAAACAAGCACACACGAGAAUAUUCACCCCAUGCUAUAACUCCCCGGCAACGGCGUCAAAAAAAGGUCUUCAUAACCCACAAGUAUAGGGGAUCAAUUGUAGCCUCUUUCGAUAAGUAAGAGUGUCGAACCCAACGAGGAGCUAAAGGUAGAACAAAUAUUUCCUCAAGUUCUAUUGACCACCGAUACAACUCUACGGACGCUUAACGUUCGCUUUACCUAGAACAAGUAUGAAACUAGAAGUACUUUGUCGGUGUAACGGGAUAGGUUUGCAAGAAUAUAAAGAGCACGUAAAUAAAAACUAGGGGCUGUUUAGGUAAAGAAGCAAUAAAGUUAGUAUAGCGAGUGUGGAAAAGUGGUGGUAGGAGUUGUGAAAUUGUCCCUAAGCAAUUGACUAUGUUACUAGACCGAUAGCAAGUUUUAUGUGGGAGAGGCCACUGCUAGCAUGUCAGCCCUGACUUGGAAUUCUAUGCACUUAUGAUUGGAACUAUUAGCAAGCAUCCACAACUACUAACAUUCAUUAAGGUAAAACCCAACCAUAGCAUUAAGAUAGAUUGGUCCCCCUUCAAUCCCGUAUGCAUCAAUUUCUAUGCUAGGUUGAAGCUUCUGUCACUCUUGCCCUCCAAUACAUAGUCCUAUCAACAUACAAACCAUAUGGUGUGAUCCACGCGCGCGCUCAUAUGAUGGGCACCAAAGGACAACAACAUAACCACAAGCAAAUUAAACCAAUCAUAGCAAUUCACCAAUUACCGAUAGGACAACGAAAAUCUACUCGAACAUCAUAGGAUGGCAACACAUCAUUGGAUAAUAAUAUGAAGCAUAAAGCACCAUGUUCAAGUAGAGGGUACAGCGGGUUGCGGGAGAGUGGACCGCUGUCGAUAGAUGGGGGAAGGUGAUGAAGAUGUUGGUGAAGAUGACGGAGGUGUUGGUGUAGAUCGCCGUCGCACGAUGAUGGCCCCGGCGGUGUUCUGGCGCCACCGAGAGAGAGGGGGAGAGGGCCCCCCUUAUUCUUCUUCUUCCUUGACCUUCUCCCUAGAUGGGAGAAGGGUUUCCCCUCUGGUCCUUGGCUUCCAUGGCAUGGGAGGGGCGAGAGCCCCUCCGAGAUUGGAUCUGUCUCUCUGUCUCUCUCUGUUUCUGCGCUCCCUGAUUCUGCCCUUUCACCGUUUCUUAUAUUCCCGGAGAUCCGUAACUCCGAUUGGGCUGAAAUUUGGACAUGAUUUUUAUCCGGAUAUUGGCUUUCUUGCGGCGAAAGAAGGGCACCAACCGCGUUAGAGAGUGGCCACGAGGGCCCAGGGCGCGCCCCUCACCCUCGUGGGCCCCUCGGGCAUCGUCCGCGUUGAUUCCACUUCCCAAAAUUCACAUAUAUUCCAAAAAAAUCUCCGUCAGUUUUUACCCCGUUUGGACUCCGUUUGAUAUGGAUUUUCUGCGAAACAAAAAACAUGCAACAAACAGGAACUGGCACUCGGCACUGGAUCAAUAUGUUAGUCCCAAAAAUAGUAUAAAAAGUUGCCAAAAGUAUGUAAAAGUUGUAGAAUAUUGGCAUGGAACAAUAAAAAAUUAUAGAUACGACGGAGACGUAUCAACAAUGCUCUAAUAAUAAAGAUCAUCACACUUUUAUUUACUUACAACUCAAGAAUUACAACUCAAUACUUAGAACAAAAUAUGACUCUAAAUGAAUGCCUCCGGUGGUGUACCGGGAUGUGCAAUGAAUCAAGAGUGACAUGUAUAAAAGAAUUAUGAAUGGUGGCUUUGCCACCAAUACUAUGUCAACUCAACUACAUGAUCAUGCAAAGCAAUAUGACAAUGAUGAAACGUGUCAUAAUAAACGGAACGGUGGAAAGUUGCAUGGCAAUAUAUCUCGGAAUGGCUAUGGAAAUGCCAUAAUAGGUAGGUAUGGUGGCUGUUUUGAGGAAGGUAUAUGGUGGGUGUAUGGUACCGGCGAAAGUUGCGCGGCACUAGAGAGGCUAGCAAUGGUGGAAGGGCGAGAGUGCGUAUAAUCCAUGGACUCAACAUUAGUCAUAAAUAACUCACAUACUUCUUGCAAAAAUCUAUUAGUGAUUGAAACAAAGUACUACACGCAUGCUCCUAGGGAGGUAGAUUGGUAGGAAAAGACCAUCGCUCGUCCCCGGCCGCCACUCAUAAGGAAGACAAUCAAUAAAUAAAUCAUGCUCCAACUUCGUUACAUAACGGUUCACCAUACGUGCAUGCUACGGGAAUCACAAACCUCAACACAAGUAUUUCUACAAUCCACAAUUAAUCACUAGCAUGACUCUAAUAUCACCAUCCUCAUAUCUCAAAACAAUCAUAAGGAAUCAAACUUCUCAUAGUAUUCAAUGCACUUUAUAUGAAAGUUUUUAUUAUAUCCCUCUUGGAUGCCCAUCAUAUUAGGACUAAAUUCAUAACCUAAGCGAAUUACCAUGCUAUUUAGAGAGACUCUCAAAAUAAUAUAAGUGAAGCAUGAGAGUUCAUCAAUUUCUUCAAAAUAAAGCCACCGCCGUGCUCUAAAAAGAUAUAAGUGAAGCACUAGAGCAAAUGACAAACUACUCCAAAUGAUAUAAGUGAAGAUCAAUGAGUAGUCGAAUAAUUCUGUAACUAUGUGAAGACUCUCUAACAUUUAAAAAGUUCAGAUCUUGGUAUCUUAUUCAAACAACAAGCAAAUACUAAUAAAAUGAAAUUACAUCGCAAGGAUAGCACAUAUCAUGUGAAGAAGCAAAAACUUAGGCUCAACCAAAACUGACCGAUAGUUGUUGAAGAAGAAAGGUGGGAUGCCUACCGGGGCAUCCCCAAGCUUAGAUGCUUGAGACUUCUUGAAAUAUUAAUUAGGGAUGCCUUGGGCAUCCCCAAGAUUGAGCUUUUGUGUCUCCUUAAUUCUUCUCAUAUCACGGUUUCCCUAAAUCUCAAAAACUUCAUACACACAAAACUCAACAAGAACUCGUGAGAUAAGUUAGUAUAAAUCCAUGCAAAACCUUAUCAUUCUCCACUGUAGAAAAUCACUAAAAUUAUAAUUUGACAUUGCAUACUAAAUGCCUUCGCAUAUUUAAUACUCCCAUCCUCAAAUAGAACCAUUGAACAUGCAAACAUAUGCAAACAAUGCAAUCAUAACAACAAUCUGUCUAAACAGGACAGUCUGUAAAGAAUGCAAGGGGAAUCAUACUUCCCUAACUCCAAAAAUUCUGAAAAAUUACCACACUGUAUAAUUUUUUUUGUUACUCAUUGUGUAAAAAUUUCAAGAUUUUAUCAUGUUCUGACUAUUCACCAAUAUUCAAAACAUAACAACAAACUUUCUGUUUUCAAACAGCAACAUAUAGACUUGCAAAAUAAGCAUGGUAAAGGCUAUACUUGACAUUUUGUUGAACUAAAAGAUAGAAAACAUGUCUCUGAAUAACAGCAAGCAAAUAUAAACAGAAGAAAAUGAUGCUCCAAGCAAAACACAUAUCAUGUGGUGAAUAAAAAUAUAGCCUCAAGUAAGGUUACCGAUGAUCAAAGACGAAAGAGGGGAUGCCAUCUGGGGCAUCCCCAAGCUUAGUUGAUUGGUUGUCCUUGAAUAUUACCUUUGGGUGCCUUGGGCAUCCCCAAGCUUAGGCUCUUGGCACUCCUUAUUCCGUAGUCCAUCGAAACUUCACCCAAAACUUGAAAACUUCACAACAGAAAAUCAUAUGAGAUCCGUUAGUAUAAGAAAAUAAAUCACCACUUAGGUACUGUUAUGAACUCAUUCUAAAUUCAUAUUGGUGUUAUGUCUACUUUAUUCCCACUUCUCCAUUGUUCGUACCCUCCGAUACUACUCAUAAAUUCAUCAAAAUAAGCAAACAACACAUAGAAAACAGAAUCUGUUUAAAACAGAACAGUCUGUAGUAAUCUGGAAACUCUCCAUACCUCUGUAACUCCAAAAAUUCUGAAAAAAUAGGACAACAUAGAAAAUUUGUAUACCAAUCAUGUGUAAAAAAUUCAGAUCAAAAUCAUGUUCCAGUGAAUUUUUAAAAUUCCUGGACUGGGAGCAAAAGUUUUUGUUUUUGCACAGAAUCAAGUCAACUAUCAUCCACACUAUCCCAAAGGCUUUACUUGGCACUUUAUUGAAACAAAAGCAAUAAAACAUGAUUACUACAGUAGCAUAAUCAUGUGAACACACAAAAACAGUAGGGGUAAAUAUUGGGUUGUCUCCCAACAAGCGCUUUUCUUUAAUGCCUUUCUAGCUAGGCAUGAUGAUUUCAAUGAUGCUCACAUAAAAGAUAAGAAUUGAGACACAAAGGGAGCAUCAUGAAGCAUAUGGCUAGCACAUUUAAGCCUAACCCAUUUCCUAUGCAUAGGGAUUUUGUGAGCAAACAACUUGUGGGAACAAGAAUCAACUAGCAUAGGAAGGUAAAAGAAGCAAAACUUCAAAACUUUCAACACAUAGAGAGUAAACUUGAUAUUAUUGCAAUAUGUAAGAGCACAUGUUCCUCUCUCAUAGUAAUUUUUAGUGGCAUCAUGAAUGAAUUCAACAAUAUAGCUAUCACAUAAAGCAUUCUUUUCAUGAUCCAUAAGCAUAGAAAUUUUAUUACUCUCCACAUAAGCAAAAUUAUUCUCAUUCGGAAUAGUAGUGGGAGCAAAUUCAACAAAAUAACUAUCAUGUGAGGCAUAAUCCAAUUGAAAAUUAAAAUCAUGAUGACAAGUUUCAUGGUUAGAAUUAUUCUUUAUAGCAUACAUGUCAUCACAAUAAUCAUCAUAGAUAGCAACUUUGUUCUCAUAAUCAAUUGGAACCUCUUCCAAAAUAGUGGAUUCAUCACUAAAUAAAGUCAUGACCUCUCCAAAUCCACUUUUAUAAUUAUAACAAUAAGAUUCAACACCCUCCAAAAUAGUGGGAUCAUUAUUUCCUAGAGUUGACACUCUUCCAAACCCACUUUCAUCAAUAUAAUCAUCAUAAAUAGGGGGCAUGCUUUCAUCAUAGUAAAUUUGCUCAUCAAAACUUGGGGGGCUAAAAAUAUCAUCUUCAUCAAACAUAGCAUCCCCAAGCUUGUAGCUUUGCACAUCAUUAGCAUCAUGGAUAUUCAAAGAAUUCAUAGUAACAACAUUGCAAUCAUGCUCAUCAUUCAAAUAAUUAGUGCCAAACAUUUUAUUGACUUCUUCCUCUAACACUUGAGCACAAUUAUCCUUUCCAUCAUUUUCAUGGAAGACAUUAAAAAGAUGAAGCAUAUGAGGCAACCUCAAUUCAUUUUUUGUAGUUUUCUUUUAUAAACUAUACUAGUUAUAAAACAAGAACUAAAAGAUUCAAUUGCAAGAUCUAAAGAUAUAUCUUCAAGCACUCACCUCCCCGGCAACGGCGUGAGAAAAGAGCUUCGUUGAUGGGAUGUGAGUGCCGCUUACCUAGCCUCCCCGGGAACGGCGCCAAAAAAGAGCUUGAUGUCUACUACGCAACCUUUCUUCUUGUAGACUCGUGUUGGGCCUCAAAGCGCAGAGUUUUGUAGGACAGUAGCAAAUUUCUCUCAAGUGGAUGACCUAAGGUUUAUCAAUCCGUGGGAGGCGUAGGAUGAAGAUGGUCUCUCUCAAACAACCCUGCAACCAAAUAACAAAGAGUCUCUUGUGUCCCCAACACACCCAAUACAAUGGUAAAUUGUAUAGGUGCACUAGUUCAGCGAAGAGAUGGUGAUACAGGCGUAAUAUGGAUGGUAGAAAUAUAUUUUUAUAAUCUGAAUAAAUAAAAACAACAAGGUAACAAGUGAUAAAAGUGAGCGAAAACGGUAUUGCAAUGCUUGGAAACAAGGCAUAGGGUUCACACUUUCACUAGUGCAAGUUCUCUCAACAAUGAUAACAUAAUUAGAUCAUAUGGCAAUCCCUCAAUGUGCGACAAAGAGUCACUCCAAAGUUCCUAUCGCGGAGAACAUAAGAUGAAAUUUCUUGUAGGGUACGAAACCACCUCAAAGUUAUUCUUUCUGAUCAAUCCAUUGAGCUAUUCCUAUAAGUGUCACAAACAACCCUAAAGUUCGUAGUAAAAUAACACCAUAUGACACACAUCAAUCAACCCUAAUGUCACCUAGAUACUCCAAUGUCACCACAAGUAUCCGUGGGUCAAUUAUACGAUAUGCAUCAAACAACUUCAGAUUCAUAAUAUUCAAUCCAACAUAAAGAACCUCAAAGAGUGCCCCAAGAUUCCUACCGGAGAAAUAAGGACGAAAACGUGCAUUAACCCCUAUGCAUAGAUUACCCCAAUGUCACCUCAGGAAUCCGCGAGUUGAGUGCCAAAACAUACAUCAAGUGAAUCAAUAGAAUACACAUUGUCACCACGGGUAUCCCACGCAAGAUAUAUAUCAAGUGUUCUCAAAUCCAUAAUAGUAUUCAAUCCGAUAAUAGUGAAACCUCAAAGGUAAAACUCAGUUCAUCACAAGAAGGUCGAGGGGGAGAAACACCAUAUGAUCCAACUAUAGUAACAAAGCUCGCGAUACAUCAAGAUCAUGCCAAAUCAAGAACACGAGAGAGAGAGAGAGAUCAAACACAUAGCUACUGGUACAUACCCUCAGCACCGAGGGUGAACUACUCCCUCCUCGUCAUGGAGACCGCCGGGAUGAUGAAGAUGGCCACCUGUGAUGGUUUCCCCCUCCGGUAGGGUGCUGGAACGGGCCCCCGAUUGGUUUUUCGUGGCUAUAGAGGCUUACGGCGGCGGAACUCCGGAUCUAGGUUUCUUUCUGGGGGUUUAUGGAUUUAUAGGAAUUUUUGGCGUCGAUUUCAAGUCAGGGGGGCCACGAGUCAGCGACAAGGUAGGAGGCGCGCCCUAGGGGGGGUGGGCGCGCCCUCCACCCUUGGCGUUGACUCGAGACUCUUCUGGCCUAACUCUUUUGCUUCGGGGGCUUCUUCUGGUCCAUAAAAAAUCACCGUAAAUUUUCAGCUCAUUUAAUUGGACUCCAUUUGAUAUUCCUUUUCCGCGAAACUUAAAAACAAGGAAAAAACAGAAACUGGCACUGGGCUCUAGGUUAAUAGUUAGUCCCAAAAAUAAUAUAAAAUAUCAUAUAAGUGCAUAUACAACAUCCAAAGAUGGAUAAUAUAAUAGCAUGGAACAAUCAAAAAUUAUAGAUUGGACGCGUCGGCCAUGGCUCUAGGCGGGAGGGUUUUGGGUGAGGAAUGGUGGAAGUGGAGAUGGUGUGCCACCGACCGGCGAGCCAGGGGAGGUCAAGGGGAGAACGUCAUGGGCGUGCACGACGUGUCCGGGUGGACGCAAACCCGACCCAAAUAUGGGCCGGAAAUGGCUUAAAGCGGACAUGAAAACGGACCCUUCCGUUUGCAUUGGCGAAUUGGGUCGUGCUUUUUGUCUGGACGCAAACGAACGCGGGUGGACGAAAUGCGAUGCCUCAUUGGAGUUACCCUUAGCCCUCGGCCUAUUUUUGAUUUACAUGAUUUGUAAAACACAGGAAUAGAUAAAACAGAGGAAUAUAGUGGCAUGUCAUCCUCAAUUCUAUAGGAUUAGCAUGAGCGUUUGAUAUGCGCAUGAAAAACGUAGGAUUCUUCAUAUGAGGUUGGAGUCGAUGAAAAUUUUCCUAUAAAAACUAGUACAAGUGAAUCCUAUAAAAAAUCCCAUGGAUAACAACCCUAUGAUGAAUCAAACAACCCAUAGAGGAAAAAAAUCUUAAAGAUCAGAAUCCUUCAAAAUUCUUUUAGAGAUCUUUUGAACCAAAAGAAGACCUAGGGCCUUCCACGACGUUAUCGAUGCCAUAUCACCAUUAAUGCCCAAGAAAAAAGUUAUGACACCAGCUUCACAGUGGAGGGCACCACAUGGUGUAAAAUAAGGAAUAAACAAGUUCAUUGAUCUAGCUACCGGCGGCUUCCAGCCAGCUUUGAAGAGUUUAGCAUUGGAGCAAGUCUCCGAUGCCCAGAUUUUUUUUUUUUGACUUCGGCUGAGCAACAUAGGUCAUCGGUGCCAAAAAGGCUGAAAAGUGAAUUUGGCACCUCUUUUGACCUACGGUUUGCCAAAAAAAAAGUAGUAACAAUUGGCUUUUAUGCCAUGGACACCAUCACCGACCGUCCAAACAUAAUCUGACGCUUCAGCAGAAAACCGCAAAAUUCUCUUCUUCCUCGGUUCGGUUCCGGCGCUCUCGUUGCUCUCCUCCGGUUCCUCGCCACUCCCUUUGCCGGGGCUGCCAACCCUCCGGCCAUCCGCACCUCGCCGCCGCUCGGCUCUCACCACCAUCCGCCCACCUCUGCUCCCGUAUCUCUUUAUCUACGCGCGGAGCUACACCACAUUGGAGAGCAUACCAUAACCCUAGCUAGGGUGAUAGACCUCCGGAUGGAGGCCGCCGCCUCCAGCCUCUCGUCGCUGCUCGUCAGCCUCCGCGUGGACGGCCCCUGGACGCCGCCUGCAGCCUGGGAUUCCAUCGCCCCCGAGAGCGCGUCCGCCGGUGUUCCUGACCCUGCAGGGCGUCCCUCUCGGGAUCCAAUCUACGAGCUCACCUCCGUUCCUGUGAGUGAAAUAUCUGAACCCAGCUAAAUUCAGCAUUAUGUUACGACCCGCUGUGGCUACUAAACCAAAACUACUUGUGGGAGUUGCGACAUUCAUAGGGAGAAAUUUUGAGUGCAGUCUGCAGUGCCCUUCAGCAGAAAAAGCGAGAGGACGCAAGUUAAAACAAGUUGCUCCGGUUGGGGAUUGGGGCCAGAAUAAGUAGGCAGGUAGGUAUGUAGGCAGAUUGCUGUGAAAUAGGGUUACUCGAAAUGGCUACUGAGUGUGGGUAGUGAAGUGUGGGAAGUUUUGAAUUAUCUGUUCUGGGAUCCUGAAAUGUGGUAUUGAUAGGUGUGAAAUGUUUUGACAAUCUUCAAACUAAGUUUUAAUCUGAUGCAGUAAGUUAGGUGCGAAUUGCUAAAGAUGUGAUGAUUAUUAGUGAUGACAUCUCAUAACCUGAAUAGAUUUUUGGGAAGCGAUUAUAGAUGUGUGUGUGUUACAUCUUCUGGGUAGUGCCAUUCUAUUUCGUACUAAAACCACGACACUUAUUUUGGACUGAGGGAGUAUUAUAUUGCUGAUGGGUGUGAGGAUCAUCUUUAUUCUGCAGGAUGCUGCUUUGGUUCGUUUGGCUUUGCAUGCACUGCAUGGUGUCAAAUCAUCGCUAGAUGAGAUUGACGAGCUUUCUGUGUUGUUCUCCUCAAGUCCGGCAGACAGGACAUCUCAUCGCAUUGCAAAUGUGUGGUCACGGUCAUCUAGCACUGCCUCUAUAGGACAUAUUCUCAAUUCUAUAGGCUCUACAGGUCUUGCAGUUUUCUUCCUGCGCAAGUUUGUGCACUAUUAUCUUUUCCAAAGUCGAGAAGUAAAUUGUGGAAAUAGAGAAGGACAUGGACAUGAUGUUUCUGAUGACAAAGAUACUGAGCAUUCUCCUCCUUAUAGUCUAGUGAACCAAGCAUUUGCUGCAGCAGUUGAAAAAGUUCUAGAAGGCUAUUUCUGUUCCUUGAAUACUUUACCACCUUCAAUUAAGCUGAGGCGGUCAGUGGGACAACCUGAUAGACCUUCCAUGACCUCAGAUAGAGCUAGUUGUAAUUCUAGCUCUGAAAUCACUCUUCUGGAAGUUUAUCUCCACACCGAGGAGUUGAGAAGGCAUAUUAAGUCCCUUGGAAAUAUUUGUUUUCCUAAGUUUGCAGGUCUUGCAUUAUGCCAGGAGGGUUUGACUACUGAUUCUAACUUGGAGUUUGAGAAUUUUCCGCGGGGCACUGAUUUGCUUUCUUAUUUGUAUGUCCGCCUUCGUGUAAGCAAUCAUCUUAUUGUUUAAAUCCUACUAUUCGGUUUAACUCAAUUUAAGCAAUCGUCUUAUUGUUUAAAACCUACUAUUCGGUUUAACUCAAUUUAAUAAACUUUUAAAGGGAUUUCCUAUUGUCCGCUACUUUGUAUCUAUAUUUUAUCUUGCCAAUGUCUUUGGUUUGCAUGCUCAAUAGCAAGAUCUAAGCUUUACGUAUGAUACUGAACAUUUCAGACUUACCAAUGCCUUGUUUGAAACGGCCAUGGAAUUUUAGGUCAUAUUUGCUGUAAUUAUCCAGAAAAGGAACUUUUUGAGAGGGAAUCUAUUCAAGUUUUGGAAAUGUUAUCAAAUAAAAUUUCCUUUCAAGUGAUUCUUUGCUGCUUUUUAUUUAUCUAAGUUUUUUGGUAAUAAUCGCCCUGAAGUGUUGCCAACUUUUCAUACUCAUUGUUCUAGAAAAUAGCUGGCAGAGAUAUUGGUAGCAAUUUCUGUCCUCCAUGAGAAGCAAAUAAGCAAUGCAAGAUUUAGGAUGGUGUGAUAGCCCCUCCCAUAUUUACUUAAUAAAAUUUAAUGACACUGUGGAACUUACCGCUUCAUUUUUUUGUUGAUAUUCUCUGUUCUAUAGACAAUGCAUUUACUCUCUUGUUUGUAUGGUGCUAUGAGCCCUGGGCUAUGUUUAGUUUCAUAUUCUACGUAGCCGAGCAUCUUAUUUCUCUUAUGCUUUAUAUGUGUACGCAGUUGCUUACUUGGUCUCUGCUGGGAUGGGUUAAUUUCUUUGACAUUUCUUUGUAACAUGGCAAUCAACGCCACAGUUUUGUAGAUUACCAGCUACCACAAGAUCAUGCUAGUUUUUCUUUAUCUGAUGGCAUAAAUUUGUGCUUCUGUACUGAAAGUUUCUGUUUGGACAUAUCCUUCUGUUCACGUUCUACAUAUGACAAAGGUUUUGAAAUGUCCAAUGAUUUCCCUUCAAUUGUAGGAUGCUGAUCCAGUUCACUAUGCUCUUUUGAAAUAUCUCUUCAUUCGUUCGUGUGAACCAUACUGUAACUUCAUUAAGUUAUGGAUUUACCGAGCUAGUGUUGACGACCCUUAUGAAGAAUUUCUCAUAACACAAACCGAGAACAGCCAGAUUCAAGGAGGUUCGUUGGGCCCACUAGGUGUCACUGCAUUGCCCUUCAAGGUAAGACAUCACUUCUUGUCUUUGUGAAGCUUCAAGGAAAAACGCCUAAACGGUCAUUAUUGACCUAAUUUAUUCUCAACAUCAGAAAUUCAGAUAUAUGCUCCACUCUUCACAUAAACCCAUGCAUUUGAACCAUGAAAAUGUUAUUCCUUUUCCAGUAGAUCUAAUUAAGUUUUUAUCAUGUAUCGCUGCCAACAGGGAAGUAAUCAUGUAUCUGUUCCAUGUUUUCUGAAAGAUAUAUGCAAUCCUCUUUUACGCACUGGGCAGCAGCUUCAAGUGCUCAUGAAGGUUGUAAAGUCAUGCAAUCUUUGUUCUACUGGAGGAGAUAAUUACGACGCUAGUAAAACUAUCCUUCUGGAGGAAAUUCUCCCAUGGUUUGGUACGCCAAUUGAGUGCUCAGUGAAUUCAUUUACUUUCUCAAAAAGCAAGGCUGAUGCAGUAAUAUGUCAGAGAGACGCUAUGUACAAGUCAAUGCUAGAGAAGCUCCAUCAUUAUUUCUUAAAUAUUGAGGUCUGGUUAGCACUCUAAUUUUAGUUCCAGAAUUAACUAGUCUGUUUUUCGCCCUUGCCAAAGCAACAGUACUAAUAUACUGGGUCAACUAUGCUUUUAAAUCACACUUUAUGACAUGAUGUUUCAGAUAAUUCCUUUUGGUCCUCCGUCAAACUCCCUGCAUAAAAGUAAAAGCCCUCUAGACACAUCAGUUUCAGAUGUGGAGCUAUUGUAUGGCGGCAUCCAUGCUCUACCAACUUGUGAUAUGUACGUCCUGGAUCUACCUUUGUAGCAAUGUUAAAUCUGCCACUCUCAUUCACUUCUUCUGUAUUUUAUUGUGCAUACUCUCUUUUUACUCAUGCGAGCAGUGUACAUCAUAAGUCUUCACCACAACAGAUUAGUCUGAUCUGUCCUUUCUCACAGUAUGUCUGCAGAUGAAAAAGACAAUGAUGCUUAUUCAACAUCGCAAGAAUCUUCAGAUAAACUAGAUCCUCUGGAAUCUUCAGAAUGCUCUUCUUCUUAUAGUUCUAUGGAUGAAAUUGAGGUUGAGAGUGGCAUCACUUGUGGUAAUUUGUCUAGUUCCAGGUUUUCGUUGUACCAUGCAAGUACAGGUGAAGCAAAAUGCUCCUCAGAAACCCAAAAUGUGCUUUCACAUCAAACUAGUUCUCGUCACAACGGGACAAACUCUUCAAGCCCUAAUGAUGAGGACCAUAGAAAUGUUGAUUUGGGUUGCAGCAACGUUCCCAUGCACUCGCAGAAUGUGGAACAUAAUGUGAUGCCUGAUGCUCUAGAACUGGAUUACCAGUAUAGUAAAUUUUGGCCAUUUGGCAAAUUUCCAAAGAACACAUUUAAUAGUUCCCCUGGAAAAAUGUGUUUAGUUGAUGAGUUUCUGUAUACGGACAAUGAAAGUGCAGUGGAGCAAGUAUCACAUGAUGAUGUAGUUUAUCCAUCACACACAGAUAAGUCUUGCAAGAUAAAUCAUUCAUGGAAUUCUAGCAUUUCUUACAAUCUCAGCACCAAUCCCAUUCUGAAGAAUGCGGCUGGUCAUCAUAUGGAGAGUGACUUGCGAGGAAAAUGGAAAAAUCAAGCACUUGAAAGCUUUGCUUUCGAGUCAGUCACAAAUCCAUGUGAAGUAUACUGUGAAAGAAGUACGUCCCUUGUGGAGUCUGAAGCCGGAGCUACAAAGGUUGUACAUUCCACUGCUCAGAAACAGCCUGAUUGUUCCAGCGAGCUUCUUCAAGCUAAGACAGGGAGUCAGGGAUACCUUGCUUCAUCAGGAGAAACGGAAGCAAGUGAUAAUCUUCCAAAAUAUGUCUGCGGGGGAGCAUUAUGGGAGAAAUUGUUAGAAUAUACUGCUAAAUCAACAGAAAAGAUAGCUGGAGAUAGUAGUUCAGCAUCUGAUAUGCCACUUGAUAUAGCUAUUGACAAGUGCAUUAUACAAGAAGUUCUGCUUCAGUAUCCUUAAUUGUAUAUGCUUGUACAGUGCAGUUCAUAAUGUCAGAUUGAUCAUAAUGCCUCUUGUUCAUUCUACUAUUACUAUCAGCAUAACAUCAUAGACUAUUUCACGAACGCCAAUUUGUGAUGUACUGUCUUUUAAAUGCCUUUUUUUUGUGUCAAACUUAGUCCAUCUGUCAUGUAUUAGGUUCAUCAACUGCUUUUACAAGUAAAAAACCAUCUUGUUGGGGAAAAAAUAAAUCUGAUCCAGGCUAUGAUUCUAAAGCUUAUAAACCACUAAAGUUGUUGGCCAGUAUUUUUCUUUCUACCUGUUAUUCCCUAACUGUAAUAAAAGAUAUAAAUAUGUUAGCAGCUUCACAAUGAAGUUGCUUGAGGAGGGUUUUGAUCUUUGUGGACAUCUACUAGCACUACGACGGUACCAUUUCAUGGAACUAGCUGACUGGGCAGAAUCUUUUAUUGUUUCCAUUUAUCAUAAGGUAAUUUUAUCCAACUGUUUUUUUUUAGCCUGUACGCCAUGCACUCAUGUUUAUAUGCACAAAUCUGUUAAGUCUGACUUCCCCCCAUGCAGAAAUGGUUCUCUGUUAAGUCUGAGCAGAAAAGAGCAGAGAUCCAAGGGCUUCUUGACUUGGCCUUGCAGAGGUCUUCAUGUGAUACCGAUCCUUAUAAGGAAAAACUGUUUAUAUACAUGAAAGAACAGCCAGUCAUUUCUGUGGCAGCCUCUGAACAAGGUAAUAAUUUGAUCUUGUCCUUGACUAUAGUUUUUAGAACUGAAGGUUUGUUUCUCAAAUUAUUAACGGCCCAACUUUUGGCGGCCAGGUUUCCACAUGCUGGAUGACUUCUUGCUGGGUUAUAAAGUUGAUUGGCCAGUGAAUAUUGUCAUUACAGAGGAGGCACUUAGGAGAUAUGCUGAAAUAUUCUGUUAUCUUGUUCAAGUCAGGUUUGCAGUCUUUUCACUGACUGAAGUAUGGCGGUUUCUAAAGGUGAUUCCUUUAUCGAUGUCUUAAUUCAUUGAAAUGUACAUGCCAUGUAAGCUUCUGUUAUUAUCUGUAUGUAUGGCAAAACCCACAAGGCUGCAGCUGGAGGCAAUUAGGCAAGAGAAAAUAAAUAAAUAAAUAAGCACUACACAGAAAUUUAAGGGGUCGUCAUUGUUAGUUCGCAUCAAUCGGGGGACAGAGAGUUCUCAGACCCAACCCAGAUGUAGGAUCUAUUUGAAACUGAACAAGUUUGUGGAGUGCCCUUUGUUCACAUACAAAAUUACCGUCGAGUGAUUUUUACUAAAUUUUCUUCAAGAGAAGUUACAAGAAUAUUUUUCUGUCAACAAAUGUGAAUAUCCAUAAUUGUGGUGACGUGGGACUUAUUUGCUGCUAUGUGACUAUAAUAUGGUAAUUUAUUGUAGGAGUUGACACAGUUAAUCAGUCGCUCUGGCCGCAGUAGACCUGAUAUAUUGAAAAAAUUAAACUCUGUGAUGAAAGUGAGGUACGCACAUACAAAACCUUUCCAAAGCUUUGUGGCAUUCAAAUAUUCCACUGAAGUGUUAAGAACAUAAUGUCUGAUUUGUUUCGAGUAUUUGAAUGUUUGAUCUGUUGGUAAAUCUUGUUAUUCUAAAAAUAUCUCGAAAUGCAAUACAUGUUGGCAUAUCCAAGUCAUAAUAAAAGUAACUGUUGCAUUCAUGUUUGAUUAUUCAUUCAGUGGUUUUCUAGUAUUAGAUAACCAUAGCCAAAUAGAUAGUGGUUGAUGGUCAGGAAAGUAGUCCCUUAAACCUGCUAUAAAUAUGACAUUUGUAAUUGCCACAUUUAUCAAAACAAAAUCGUUAAUUUUAUCUUUUUUGUACUGCCGACUCAUUAGUCACUGCAAAAUUGUCCUGUUUCUACCAAACAACAUUCCAAAAAGUAGAAUUAGUCAGAUGUAAUUCAAGUUACAUCAUGUACUGUUGAAAACAUUGCUGGAGGGUUGAACCUUUUAAUCUUCUGAGAAAAAUAUUGUCAUUUUGGAUGGUUAAAUUAUUGAUUUGCAAUUGCACAGACCAACGUCCAUAUUAUCUAAAAUAGCAUCCUCCAUUUUUAUGCGGAAGCAUAAUGAAUUAUCUCAAUGUUCUCAUGUAUAGUUGCUUCUACUAUGCGAAUGCCUUCUGUUCCUCUACUCUUGACUUAUGUGUCCUUAUUUUAUUGGUUUGUUUCUUGACAUAACUAUCCUUUCUUUUAUCAGACAUCAAGUUUACCAUUUUCUAUCAACAUUACAGCAGUACCACCAUUGCAAUUUGUCUGAUAUAUCAUGGCGUCGUUUUCAACAUUCCCUUAAACAUCAGGUAUAAUAUAUUUGUUGGCAUAGUAGUUAUGUUACUUACAUUCAAAGAGGAUGAAAAUAUACCUUUUUAAACAUCAUGAGUUUAUUAUCUAUUAACGUAUUACCUCUUUUGAGAUAAUGAUCUUACUUGGAUUGAGCUUUUCUGGGUGGCUGCGCGUAUACUGAUCUCAACUAUUCUGUAGGUUAAAGAUAUGCGGGAUAUCGAGUAUGUGCAUUUGUGUUAUGUUACAGACGCACUUCACAUGUAAGGCCUUUACCCACAAAAAUGAAACUAGUUUUCAUUUUACUACAUGUAUAUAGGCAAUUUAUGCAGCUGUUUUUUUUUUAAUUGUGGUUCAUGCCAUGAACUAGUGUGAUUUAUUGCAAUGAGCAUAAUAAAGAUAAUUAUUAGACUACUUUCUGUUUUGUCCUGUCACAAACUCACAUUUGGCUGUUCAAUUGAGUAUCUAAUUCUUCCAAGUAGGAUAGAAAGCAAGGGAAUCUGGUACUUCUGACAUUAUCUCUUAGCUGCCAAGAGAACUUCGUUUAUCCCAUUUACUUGGUGUCUAUACUUCCUGAGUAUCAUCUCUUUUGCUAAUUCUGUACUGACUAUAAUAUUGGAUUUUUUCUUGUGUUAUAUUACGUUUGCUUCUAACUGCAUGGUGUUUUUUUUCCAGAUGUUUCUUAUCCAAUGAGACAAAACCAGUUGCCACCAUAAUCAAAAGCAUGCUUCAACAAGCUUUGGAGUUCCGGUCAUGCUUUAAGAGUCUUAAUGACCUUUCCGAAUCAACAGUUAAUCAGCUUAAUCUGCAUUCUCUUAUAAACUUCUCUCAGGUAUUCUCUUGAUUUCACAUGGACAAAGUUGUCUGGAAGUAUUACAUUGUGUCUUCUGGGUUUAUUCUUUCAACUCCAGCAUGCACAUAAAAGAUCUUUACUGAUCUGAUAAUCAUUAUUGAUUAUUCUCCCUAAGAACGAUGUAUGUAUCAUAGUUCUGGGAACAAAUAAUCUAUGGUUGAGUAGGUCUGUCUUUAGCUCCCUGUCUGACUAUCCGGAAAAUCCUGAUAUAAUCCAUUGAGUUUGAUUCUAAUUGUAAACGCCAGAAACCCUCUCAAAGUUAUGGUAGUAUACUGGGUGCUUCCCCUUUCCUUUUUCCUUUUCCUUUUUGGAGCUUAAACUGUUAAUUGUGCCCGAACCAAACACCAUAGAUGAAGAUUGGUCACACUAAAGGGAUAUUCUGUCACAUUGUGAAUAGUUGGUAAUUGAUGGAGCAGAAACCCGUCAGUACCCUCGGUAGGGUGGCGAACAUGGCCGGAAGUACCAGAUCAGAGGUCGCACGAAGAGUUUACCUAGGUUUGCGCCUCCGGGUGUUUGUAUUCAUGGUGGGAUACCUCGUGCGAGGGUUACAAUGAGGGAUGAAGUAUGAGUCUACCGAGAGUAUGGUUCUACGGAUGUAGAUGGGCCUUGCUACCCCCAGCCCCCACCUUAUAUAGAUGACAGGGGAUAGGGUUUUACAGGAGAUCAAUCUGAUCUAAGCCGCCACCACCUUGACUUGCUUGCCAAGGUAGUCUUUUGCCGCCUCUCCGGGCUCCGAGGGUCCCUCCUGUGGUUAGGUCUUCACCUAUCUUUGUGGGCCUUGAGACGGGCCUGUUGUCGGGCUCCCCACCAGAGGAGAGGUUGAACGUGGCGGCACCUUUGUUGCGGCGGAUGACCCGAGCUCUUGUCCAUGUGUCGGGGUUGAUGUGGAACCCGGACACAAUGGAGUGGACGUUCGCCCGCGGCCUCUGAUUGAGCUCGUGAACGGAGCACCUAAUUGUGCUGCAGGAGUUUGCUGCUUUCGAAGGAGCUCGGCCCAUUCUUGCGCAACUAAAGGUGCAUCGCCCCGAUAUUUCCACGGAGGUCGUCGCCACUUUGAUUCCCGAGAUUGUCAGUUAUUCGACUUAUUUGAGGAAGGGAGGGAGGCCUCCAUUAUGGUGGCGGCGGACUGCGACCUGGAUGUAGGCUUGGAGUAGCUUGAAAAAGAUGUAGUGGUCGUUGCGGCUUGGGUGAUGCCCAUCAUAGACAAACUUAUUCAUGUGAUGCAUACCUGAAUCAGUUUCUUGUCCUUUAACAGUUUUAUUUGGAGAUCAAGUGUGUUAUACUGCCUGAGGCCUCUUUGUUUUUGAUCGGGGAAUGACGCGACCAGAGGUUAUUCAGCCUCCGUCUUCCCUCGGCUAUGCCCUUUUUAUAAGGAUUACCAAAUCGUUUUCUUACGUCGAUGCAGCCCCGUGUUGGUGGCACUAGGAGGUCGGCAAGGGCCAAUCAGCCCUCGGGUCCAGACUAAUAGAAGGAAUGCAUGAUGCAGCCUCUGUGCAGACCGUGGGGAGGUCCACGAUGCUAGUACAACCCCCGAGCCUGGCAAGCAGAGAGAUACGUUUGUUUCUACCUCUAGGUCUAUCCCAUUGUGUUCGUUGUAUUAACAAUUGAAAUAGCAAAUCACCAUGGGAACCUAGAAUGAUUCCUUUAUUCAGCAGUUUAUUUGGAUCGAGCUAAAACAAGGGGGCUAAAAACAUAAAAAAUGCUUAUGCUUGCUAAAGAGUAACUUAAUAAAAAAGACGUAGUUGGGCAGCGUUCCAUGGACGCUUCGUGAUCCGGCUUGUCUUGCGGUUGAGGAGGUAGUAAGCCCCAUCGCUAAGGGCUUCGUGAAUGAUGUAAAGCUCUUCCCAUGGGGAGGAGAGCUUGUUCUUUCGUGGCUUCUGCUUAAGGUGGAGGAUGAGUCGCCGCCGUUGAACUCGUACGCUCGGACAUGCCUUCCAUUGUAUUGGUGUAGUUUUUGCUGUAGACGGUUGUGCGUUCGAGGGCAAUGAGCCGAGCUUCUUCCUUGGUGUCGAUGUCGUCUUUCUUGAAUUCUUCCAUGGCCUCCUUGUACACACAGACAUGUGGUUAUUCGUACUCUUAUGUUGGAAGGGAGUAUCACCUCGGCCCCGUAGACCAUAAAGAAUGGUGUGUCCAAUUGAUCUGUUUGGAGUUGUCCGUAAUCUCCAUAGGACGGAUGAGAGCUCAUCAACCCAUUUUCCCUUUGCUUGGACCAAAGGGGUAAUGAGGCGGAGCUUCAGACCUUGCAUGAUUAACCAAUUGGUGCACUCCACCUGCUUGUUGGACUGUGGGUGUGAAACCGAGUAAUCGAUUUGGAUCCUCCGGUUGCGACAGAAUUCUUUGAAUGUGUAUUGUGAAAUUGGAGCCAUUAUCGGUGAUGUCGUGGGGGACUUCAAAUCUGUGGAUUAUACCAAAGGUGAAUUUAUUGCUGUGUCAGCCUCCGCAUUGGUGACGGGCUUGGCUUCUAUCCACUUUGUGAAUUUGUCGACGGUGACUAGAACUUGAAACAGCCUGGCGUUGUGGCGAGGGGCCCGACCAUAUCAAGCCCCCAACGAUGGAAGAUGCCUGUGACACUGUACUUGUACAACUCUCCUUGGAUGACUGUGUAUGCCUUGGACCUGCAAACAAUGCACCGGACUUCUUUUUUGUCUUCGGGUAGGUCCUGUUUAUCAAGUAUGCGAGGAGCGACCGAGUCCAGGUCGGGGUGACCACGAGAGUUUCUUCCGCGAGUUCCCCUUCUCCAGCCUCAUUUUCUGCGUCCGCAGGCUUUGGUCCACCGGAGGUCGGAGUCUUCUGCGAUUUCUCGUAGCUGCACAAAUGGCUUGUGUAGGACCUCUAGGAAUGCCUCAGCCGGGACUAGUUUUUGGGCUGCCCCCAUGCGUGCCAAGUUGUCAGCUGCCACGUUGUCAGUAUGCUUGGCGUGGUGUAGUUCGGUGCCAUCGAAUUUUCCUUCUAGUACAUAGACGACAGCACAGUAUGCGACCAUCUUUGGGCCUUUGGUGUCGAAUGUCUUCAUCACCGUUGAGCGAUGAGGUUGGAGUCACCACGGCAGAUGAGGUGACAGAUGCCAUGGAGGCCGCAAUGCGAAGCUCGUGGAGGAGGGCUUCGUAUUCUGCCCCGUUGUUGGAGUUGGGGAAAUGUAUCUGUAGGUCGUAGUUCAUCCUAUCACCGCACGGUGAGAUCAGGACGAUGUCGGCCCCCAAUCCUUGGAUGACCAUAGAACCAUGUUCGAUAGCGGGGCAUGACUGACAACCGUGAUGGGAUUUGCCUGGAAGUAGUGACGUAGCUUGCGGCCGCCAUGAACACGCCAUACAUGAUCCUCUGAUAAUGUGGGUAGCGGGUCUUGCAUGGUGUCAGCACUUCACUAACGUAGUAUACGGGAUGCAGAACCCGAUGUCUCUACUGCUAUAACUACACUGACUACCUGUGUGGUUGCUGAUAUAUAUAUAUAGCGGAUCAGACUGCAACAGCCAACGCAACCAAAAGUCCGAACUGAUGGAAAGGGCUAGUGCAAUCCACAUAUACUAUAACAGCUGAUAUAUAGCGGAUCGGGCUGCAACAGGGAGGCCAGCUGCGGGUUGGAUUGCAGGAGACGCUUGAGGUCGACGAAUGCGGCCUUUGGUUUGUUGCUCUAGUAGAACUUGUCAUUCUUCUGUAAGAGCCGGUAAAGCGGAAGUGCUUUCUCCCUGAGCUGGGAGAUGAACCGACUGAGGGCUGCAACGCACUCGGCGAGCUUCUGGACUUCCCAGAUCUUUUCUAGGGGCUUCAAGUUGAUGAUGGCUUGUAUCUUCUCCGGUUUGGCCUUGAUUCCUCGUUGAGCGACAUGAAGCCGAGUUGUCCCGAGGGUACCCUGAAAACACAUUUUCAGGGUGCUUUAUGCUGAAGCCCCGUAGGUUGGUGAAUGUCUGCUCGAGGUUGGAGAGAAGGCUGGAGCCAUGUCUUGACUUGAUGACUACAUUGUCGACGUAUGCCUCGACGUUGACGCUGAUCUGGUCGUGAGGACACUUUCGCAUGGUUCGUUGAUACGUUGCACCGGCGUUCUUGAGCCCGAAGGGCAUGGUGAUGUAGGAGAAGGGCCCGAAAGGUGUAAUGAAGGAGGUCUUCUCCUGGUUGGACUCCUUCAUGCGUAUUUGGUGGUAGCCGGAGUAGGCGUCCAGGAAGCACAGAACUUUGCAGCCCGCGGUUGAGUCUAUGACUUGGUUGAUGCGGGGUAAAGGGAAUGGGUCCGUUGAGCAUGCUUUGUUGAGGUCGGUGUAGUCAACGCAGGCAAGCCUCUCUGGGUGCGUGACUUCUCUGAUGAACCUGGCGGCUAGGAGCCGAGCGAUCUCUUUGCUGAUGGCUCGCCGUUUCUCUGUGGUGAAGCGGUGGAGGGCUUGUUUGACUGGUCUGGCGUCCUUUCGGACGUCGAAGCUGUGUUGUGCGAUCUUUGUGGGAAACCCGGGCAUAUCUGCGGGUUUCCAAGCAAAGAUGUCCCAGUUGCUCAGGAGGAAUUGCAGGAGUUCGGCUUUCUGUUCCUUUGACAUGUCUUCUCUGAUAAUCAUCAAUUUCUUCAAAUCUUCUGGGUGCACUUGGAAUUUUUUGGUUUCCUUUGUCGGCUAGUACGCGGGCCCUGACCUGGGUUUGGUUGGGAGCGUUUUUGUAGAUGUGUCGACGAACUUCAUGAUGUGCUCGAGCUCCGCUAAGGCCAGCGCUUCCUCGGCGAGCUCUACGUUGACGACCUUCGUUUGGAGUGCCCUCUCGGGUCUGUCAUGUAUCGUGAUCGUGCCAUUGGGACCUCGACAUCUUGAGCUAGAGGUACGCAUGGGUGGGCAGUGCCAUAAACUUUACGUAGGCCAUCCUGCCGAGGAUCACGCUGUAGUCGGUUUGGAACGGGGGGACCUCAAACUGGAUCGUUUCUUAUUUGUAAUUUUUCUCUUCCUCGAAGACGACCUCUAGAUUGAGCCGUUCGAGGGGGCGCACCGGCCCACCCGGUACGAAGUCGCGGAAGCCGGUGAGCGAGGGCUACAAGCUGUGCUGGGAAAGACCCCCGUCUUGGCCAGCGUGUCGGGGAGGAUGAUGUUUACGCUACUGCCACCGCCCAUCAGAAGUUCAGAACCCAUGGGAGGCCGAAGCCCUUGAUGAUCGGAUUUACCACCAAAGCAAACUUGCCAGGAUGGGGAACGUAGGCCGGAUGGUCGGUGCAGCUGGAGGCUAUUGUGGUGCCUGACCACUCUAGGAGGUCGUCGGGGUUGGUGUGGCCUAGAAGAUCAUGUUGACGCUGAUUGUUUGGGUGGGCUGGUGGGUUGGUGAAGAUCCAGCAGCCCCGAGACAGGUCGAGAUCGAUGCCUCCUUUUUUGCCAGUGGUGAUGAAGGGGCAUUGACGCAUGUGGUGUUGCCGUGUUCCUCGAACACGAACUCAAUGUUCCCGAAACAGUUGUAGUUCACGAAGGGGUGAGGCGUUACGUCAUAAAGCAGCCCCUGAUUGUCAACCUUGAGGUCGAAGGAGCCGAAGAUGAAGGUCUGGCCCGGCAUGAAGUCUUCGGGCAUGUAUAAUGAUCCGAUAUGGGUUCGUUCUCCGACCAGCGUAGCCCGUGCCUCGCGCGGCAACUGACGGAGCAGAAACCCCUCAGUACCCUCGGUAGGGUGGCGAACAUGGGCGUAAGUACCAGAUUGGAGGUCGCACGAAGAGUUUACCCAGGUUCGGGCCUCCGAGAAGGAGUAAGAUCAACUCCAACGCAGGACCCCAAAUGGUCUGGCCGUGCCCGUUUGGGGCUAAACGGACAGAAAUCGCGGCCCAACGCGCGGGAGCAAAUGGACAAAUGUCCGUUUUUUGUCCGCUUUCAACCCAUUCUUGGCCCAAAUUUGGGCCGCGUUUGCAUCGAAUGGACAGCCCGCGGGCGGGCGGGACGCUCACCCUUGUCCUCCCCUGGCCCACCUGUCGGGGACACAACCCCUUUUCUCUUCCCCUCCCCCCGCCAUCGCCGUCGCCACACAUUUUUCUGGCCGCCCAAACCACGACCACCCCUUGCCAUAGCCGCCCCAUGCCUGUGUUUCGAAGGAGUUUUUGCCGGCGUUUUUGGCCCUUUGUCGCCUCAUCCGGUACUAGGGAAGCUACGGCCGCUGGCGACGCCCAUUGACCCCAACACCUUCCGGCAGGCGCUGCAUAGCCGCCGGCUGCCAUCGCCAACCUUGCCUGCUGCCUGUGAGGGGAGCCCGGCCGCAUCUCCACCAUGACCGCAAGGUGUUCGAGACUUUGCUCACAAGGUACCAUGGAUAGUGGGGACGAGUAUUUUUUUUCACAACUUCAUUUUGUUCAUCGGAUGACGAAGAGCUUGUGGUGGCUGCUUUGGUCGUCAAUGACCACAUUUCUCGGCAGCGGCCUCGGUUCAGGGGAUCAAUCCCGGGUCAUGCUCCGGCCUUGAACCGCAAUAGGGAGAGUGGCCACGCCCUGCUCUAUGCCGGUUACUUUGAGAAUACCGCGCUCUUCAGACCACAUCAAUUCUGCCGCUGCUUCCGUAUGAGGAGGCAUGUGUUCAAUCGUAUUGGGGAGGGAGUGGUCGGAUAUGACCCACACUUUGAGUGCAAAGAGGAUGCCCUUGGCAAGAUUGGCUUCUCCUCUUACCAGAAAUGCACUACGGCUAUUCACAUGCUUACAUAUGGAAUUCUAGGCGAUCUUGUGGAUGAGUAUGUGCGUACGAGUGAGUCCACAUGUCUCCUAUCAAUGUACAAUUUCUGCAAGGCCGUGGUGGCAGUGUUUGGCCUUGAGUACAUGAGAGAGCCAAUUGCCAUCGAUACAGAACUGUUGUUGACGAUCAAUGCAUAUAGGGGCUUUCCGGGCAUGCUUGGCAGCAUAGAUUGUAUGCACUGAAAGUGGAAGAGCUGUCCAUUUGCUUGGCAAGGGCAGUACAUGGGGCAUGUGAAAGGUACCACUGUCAUACUAGAAGCGGUGGCUUCACACGAUCUUUGGAUAUGGCAUUCUUUCUUCGGCAUGGCUGGUUCUCACAAUGAUAUCAAUGUGCUUCAGCGUUCUCCAGUGUUCGCAAGGCUUGCAGAAGGCCACUCCCCAGAGGUCAACUUUGAGAUCAGUGGCCACCAUUCAUGGUUUUUGAGUCGCGACUAGUCAAGUCGCCGCCAGCCCUACGGCUCGGCGAUUAGUCGACCCAAGUCGCUGUAUAGUCGCGAGUCGCCCUGAUUUCUAGAAAACGACUUGGCGAUUAGUCGGCGACUAUACAGCGACUCAAAAACCAUGCCACCAUUACAACAAGGGAUACUACCUAGCUGAUGGUAUCUAUCCUCAGUGGUCAACUCUUGUGAAGACAAUACCCAAUCCGCAAGGAGAGAAGAGAUAGAGAUUUGCCCAAAUGCAAGAGAGUGCUAGGAAGGAUGUGGAGCGUGCUUUUGGCAUGCUUCAAUCUUGAUGGGUAUCGUUCGAAACCAUGCACUGACAUGGAGCACCAAGAAGCUUUGGGAGAUGAUGACUGCUUGUGUGAUCGUGGAGGAUGAGCAUGAUGACAUCAUCUAUGAUCAAGGGUUUGAUUUUCAGGGUGUAAAUGUUGAGCCUGAGCACCAAGAACGACUGCUUGUGUGAUCGUGGAGGAUGAGCGUGAUGACAUCAUCUAUGGUCAAGGGUUUGAUUUCCAGGGUGUAAAUGUUGAGCCUGAGCACCAAGAACCGGCAACGUUUGAAUAGUUUGCCCAAUUCCAUCGUGAAAUGCGUGGUUGGCAUACUCACAUGCAGCUCCAAGAUGACUUGGUUGAGCACAUGUGGAAUCACAUUGGCAACCAAUAGAUGCAUCGGUUCAUUUUCUUUCCAUCUAUUGAAGACAAUUUCGACUGGGUUAUAAAACCAUUUGAUUGUGUUUUUUUGGAUGUGGAACUAUUUGUUUGUAAGACUAUUUGCAAUGUUUGAUUUAUUUGGUUGUGAAACUAUUUUUACAAUGUGCAUAGUUAAAAUGUCAAUAUAGGGGCUCCAGCCGGCCGUGCCGGACCAGAUGCGACAGCGCGUUGGGAGCACGGCCAACGCAUCCAGGAAAACGGCUGGACGCUGCCCCAUCGCCCUACCCAAACGGACAAAAUCCAGACUAAACAGGCGUCCGUUUGGGGUCGACGGUUGGAGUUGGCCUAAUACCCUACGUCCUGCUUUGUUUUUGUAUUCAUGGUGGGAUACAUCGUGCGAGGGUUAUAAUGGGGGAUGGAGUAUGAGUCUAGCGAGAGUAUGGUUCUACGGAUGUAGAUGGGCCUUGCUACCCCCAACCCCUACCUUAUAUAGAUGACAGGGGAUAGGGUUUUACAGGAGAUCGAUCUGAUCUAAGCCGCUGCCACCUUGACUUGCUCGCCAAGGUGGUCUUUUUGCCGCCUCUCCGGGCUUCCAGGGCCCCUCCUGUGGGCCCCAAGACGGGCCUGCUGCCGGGCUCCCCACCGAGCGGCCACCCCCGUAUUACACCGUCAGUAAUAGAUUUGUUGGUGUGUUCUAUCAGUAGUUGCUGAGAUUUGCUAAAUGUCUGCUGUCAUGCACUUUACUUGCUGCAGUACUAUUGAUGGUUUCCAUUUCCUCCAAAUCUUACCUAGCACUAUGUAGCAGCUGCUAAUUAUAUACAUGUCCUUUCUGGUAACAUAGUAAUAUGAAAUUUGAGAGCAUCUAUCUUCCUGCACAGGUGGACGCAAUUAGAACGAGGUUUGAGAGUAACAUCAAAGAUUUGUAUAUUUUGCAUUCGAAGUCUUCAAAGUAUGAGGAGCUUGGUCUUUCUCGCUUCUGGGGGUAUCUGAACUACAAUGAGUAUCACUCUUUGAAAAUCACCAAGGAUGUGGGCUGCUUCUACUUCUGACAUGACAAUGUGAAAAGAGGUGCAUCCAUUUAUCUUGCAAUUUCCGGAACUAGUUCACCUUUUGCAUCCCUACAUGACAAAAGUUAGUGAGUGUGAUUGUGUGCUAGUUGUGAGGUCUCUUUGCUUGCAUUUGCAAGCAGAAAGAAGAAGCAGAACGUGGGGGGAGGCUUCUUCAUUCAGAGAUACAUAUUGUUAAGAUCAGCAGUUCUUGUAUAUUCCUUUCACUAAAGAGAUUGGAGCUGUGUUAUUGAUUAAUUUAUGGAGCUUUUAUACUUGAAGAUGGAAUGCUCGGUUGGGAAGUUAUAAUGUUGGAAAUUCAUUUCAAAAUUUUCAGUGAAAAGGGGAAGUUACAUGACUUGAAAACUCUGGCAAUAUUGUGGGUUUACUUGGACAAUGAAGGUCCUUGCCUGCCCUCUGGCCUCCUGCCAUUGACGGUGCAUCCAAAGUGCGGGCAUCCAGGCAUAGUGAUGCCGUACCUGGUAUUUGAUGUCCUGACUCCUGACCUUACUGGGGCCUCCUUGUUGCCCUCUCAGCAAUUGCAACAAGAUCACCACUAACUGGGCGACAGGACAGAUUGGUUAUGGG
rnacentral:lncRNA from 1 species